rnacentral:rRNA from 2 species
AUAGGUGGGAGGCUUUGAAGUGUGGACGCCAGUCUGCAUGGAGCCAACCUUGAAAUACCACCCUUUAAUGUUUGAUGUUCUAACGUGGACCCGUGAUCCGGGUUGCGGACAGUGUCUGGUGGGUAGUUUGACUGGGGCGGUCUCCUCCCAAAGCGUAACGGAGGAGCACGAAGGUUAGCUAAUCCUGGUCGGACAUCAGGAGGUUAGUGCAAAGGCAUAAGCUAGCUUGACUGCGAGAGUGACAGCUCGAGCAGGUGCGAAAGCAGGUCUUAGUGAUCCGGUGGUUCUGAAUGGAAGGGCCAUCGCUCAACGGAUAAAAGGUACUCCGGGGAUAACAGGCUGAUACCGCCCAAGAGUUCAUAUCGACGGCGGUGUUUGGCACCUCGAUGUCGGCUCAUCACAUCCUGGGGCUGAAGUAGGUCCCAAGGGUAUGGCUGUUCGCCAUUUAAAGUGGUACGCGAGCUGGGUUUAGAACGUCGUGAGACAGUUCGGUCCCUAUCUGCCGUGGGCGUUGGAAGAUUGAGAGGGGUUGCUCCUAGUACGAGAGGACCGGAGUGAACGCACCACUGGUGUACGGGUUGUGAUGCCAAUUGCAUUGCCCGGUAGCUAAGUGCGGAAGAGAUAACCGCUGAAAGCAUCUAAGCGGGAAACUUGCCUCGAGAUGAGUCUUCCCUGGGCACUUGAUGCCCCUGAAGGGCCGUUGAAGACGACGACGUAGAUAGGCUGGGUGUGUAAGCGUAGCGAUACGUUGAGCUAACCAGUACUAAUGACCCGAGAGGCUUAACCUUACAACACC